GUGUUUGCCUUAGUGCCACAUAUGCUAAAAUUGGAAGGCUGCAGAGAAGGUUAGCCUGACCUCUGUGCAAAGAAUAACAUGCACAUUCAUGAAGUUUUGAGAGCUGUU